rnacentral:rRNA from 1 species
GGCUCGGGGAGGUAGUGACGAAAAAUAACAAUACAGGCCUCGUACGAGGCCCUGUAAUUGGAAUGAGUACACUUUAAACGCUUUAACGAGUAUCCAUUGGAGGGCAAGUCUGGUGCCAGCAGCCGCGGUAAUUCCAGCUCCAAAAGUGUAUAUUUAAGUUGUUGCGGUUGAAAAGCUCGUAGUUGGAUUUUGGGAUGGUGCGUACGGUCGGCCGCAAGGCUUGUACUGAACGUGCUGUCCUCACGUGACCGGCGCCUCUAAGGUGCUCUUAACUGAGUGUCUGUGUGGUCCGGGAAGUUUACCUUGAAAAAAUUAGAGUGUUCAAAGCAGGCUUAAAGCUUGAAUAAUGUUGCAUGGAAUAAUGGAAUAGGACCUCGGUUCUAUUUUGUUGGUUUUCGGAGCGCGAGGUAAUGAUUAAGAGGAACGGACGGGGGCAUCCGUACUGUGCCGCUAGAGGUGAAAUUCUUGGAUCGGCGCAAGACGAACAACUGCGAAAGCAUUUGCCAAGAAUGUUUUCUUUAAUCAAGAGCGAAAGUCAGAGGUUCGAAGACGAUCAGAUACCGUCCUAGUUCUGACCUUAAACGAUGCCGACUAGCGAUCGGGCAGUGUCGAAAGUAAGACCUGCCCGGCAGCUUCCGGGAAACCAAAGUCUUUGGGUUCCGGGGGAAGUAUGGUUGCAAAGCUGAAACUUAAAGGAAUUGACGGAAGGGCACCACCAGGAGUGGAGCCUGCGGCUUAAUUUGACUCAACACGGGAAAUCUCACCCGGCCCGGACACAGCGAGGAUUGACAGAUUGAGAGCUCUUUCUUGAUUCUGUGGGUGGUGGUGCAUGGCCGUUCUUAGUUGGUGGAGCGAUUUGUCUGGUUAAUUCCGAUAACGAACGAGACUCUUACUUGCUAAAUAGCUACUCGACCCAUUGCGGUCAGAGAUAACUUCUUAGAGGGACUAGUGGCGUUUAGCCACACGAGAUUGAGCAAUAACAGGUCUGUGAUGCCCUUAGAUGUUCGGGGCCGCACGCGCGCUACACUGACCGGAUCAUCGUGUGCUUCCCUUGGCCGAAAGGCCCGGGUAAUCCGUUGAACCCCGGUCGUGCUAGGGAUAGGGAAUUGCAAUUGUUUCCCUUGAACGAGGAAUUCCCAGUAAGCGCGAGUCAUUAGCUUGCGUUGAUUACGUCCCUGCCCUUUGUACACACCGCCCGUCGCUACUACCGAUUGAAUGGUUUAGUGAGGUCCUCCGAUUGAGCCCGGUGCGCCCGGAAACGUGCAUGCU